AUCUCAAGGAUAGCUCAGUUGGUUAGAGCAUGGUGCUGAUGACUCCAAGGUUGCAGGUUCGUUCCCCGUAUGGGACA
rnacentral:tRNA from 1 species